rnacentral:rRNA from 1 species
UUGAACGCUGGCGGCAGGCCUAACACAUGCAAGUCGAGCGGUAGCACAGAGAGCUUGCUCUCGGGUGACGAGCGGCGGACGGGUGAGUAAUGUCUGGGAAACUGCCUGAUGGAGGGGGAUAACUACUGGAAACGGUAGCUAAUACCGCAUAAUGUCGCAAGACCAAAGUGGGGGACCUUCGGGCCUCAUGCCAUCAGAUGUGCCCAGAUGGGAUUAGCUAGUAGGUGGGGUAACGGCUCACCUAGGCGACGAUCCCUAGCUGGUCUGAGAGGAUGACCAGCCACACUGGAACUGAGACACGGUCCAGACUCCUACGGGAGGCAGCAGUGGGGAAUAUUGCACAAUGGGCGCAAGCCUGAUGCAGCCAUGCCGCGUGUGUGAAGAAGGCCUUCGGGUUGUAAAGCACUUUCAGCGGGGAGGAAGGCGUUAAGGUUAAUAACCUUGGCGAUUGACGUUACCCGCAGAAGAAGCACCGGCUAACUCCGUGCCAGCAGCCGCGGUAAUACGGAGGGUGCAAGCGUUAAUCGGAAUUACUGGGCGUAAAGCGCACGCAGGCGGUCUGUCAAGUCGGAUGUGAAAUCCCCGGGCUCAACCUGGGAACUGCAUUCGAAACUGGCAGGCUAGAGUCUUGUAGAGGGGGGUAGAAUUCCAGGUGUAGCGGUGAAAUGCGUAGAGAUCUGGAGGAAUACCGGUGGCGAAGGCGGCCCCCUGGACAAAGACUGACGCUCAGGUGCGAAAGCGUGGGGAGCAAACAGGAUUAGAUACCCUGGUAGUCCACGCCGUAAACGAUGUCGAUUUGGAGGUUGUGCCCUUGAGGCGUGGCUUCCGGAGCUAACGCGUUAAAUCGACCGCCUGGGGAGUACGGCCGCAAGGUUAAAACUCAAAUGAAUUGACGGGGGCCCGCACAAGCGGUGGAGCAUGUGGUUUAAUUCGAUGCAACGCGAAGAACCUUACCUGGUCUUGACAUCCACAGAACUUUCCAGAGAUGGAUUGGUGCCUUCGGGAACUGUGAGACAGGUGCUGCAUGGCUGUCGUCAGCUCGUGUUGUGAAAUGUUGGGUUAAGUCCCGCAACGAGCGCAACCCUUAUCCUUUGUUGCCAGCGGUUAGGCCGGGAACUCAAAGGAGACUGCCAGUGAUAAACUGGAGGAAGGUGGGGAUGACGUCAAGUCAUCAUGGCCCUUACGACCAGGGCUACACACGUGCUACAAUGGCAUAUACAAAGAGAAGCGACCUCGCGAGAGCAAGCGGACCUCAUAAAGUAUGUCGUAGUCCGGAUUGGAGUCUGCAACUCGACUCCAUGAAGUCGGAAUCGCUAGUAAUCGUAGAUCAGAAUGCUACGGUGAAUACGUUCCCGGGCUUUGUACACACCGCCCGUCACACCAUGGGAGUGGGUUGCAAAAGAAGUAGGUAGCUUAACCUUCGGGAGGGCGCUUACCACUUUGUGAUUCAUGACUGGGGUG